GACGAACGCUGGCGGCGUGCUUAACACAUGCAAGUCGAACGGUGACGCACCUUCGGGUGCUGAUCAGUGGCGAACGGGUGAGUAACACGUGGGCAACCUGCCCCUGACUCUGGGAUAACUCCUCGAAAGAGGUGCUAAUACCGGAUAUCACCCUCCCUGGCCUCGGGGAGGGUUGAAAGUUUUUCGGUCAGGGAUGGGCCCGCGGCCUAUCAGCUAGUUGGUGGGGUAAUGGCCCACCAAGGCGACGACGGGUAGCCGGCCUGAGAGGGCGACCGGCCACACUGGGACUGAGACACGGCCCAGACUCCUACGGGAGGCAGCAGUGGGGAAUAUUGCGCAAUGGGCGAAAGCCUGACGCAGCAACGCCGCGUGAGGGAUGACGGCCUUCGGGUUGUAAACCUCUUUCAGCGGGGACGAAGCGAAAGUGACUGUACCCGCAGAAGAAGCGCCGGCUAACUACGUGCCAGCAGCCGCGGUAACAC
rnacentral:rRNA from 1 species